AUUGAACGCUGGCGGCAGGCCUAACACAUGCAAGCCGAGCGGCAGCGGGAAGUAGCUUGCUACUUUGCCGGCGAGCGGCGGACGGGUGAGUAAUGUCUGGGAAACUGCCUGAUGGAGGGGGAUAACUACUGGAAACGGUAGCUAAUACCGCAUAACGUCGCAAGACCAAAGAGGGGGACCUUCGGGCCUCUUGCCAUCAGAUGUGCCCAGAUGGGAUUAGCUAGUAGGUGGGGUAAUGGCUCACCUAGGCGACGAUCCCUAGCUGGUCUGAGAGGAUGACCAGCCACACUGGAACUGAGACACGGUCCAGACUCCUACGGGAGGCAGCAGUGGCGAAUAUUGCACAAUGGGCGCAAGCCUGAUGCAGCCAUGCCGCGUGUAUGAAGAAGGCCUUCGGGUUGUAAAGUACUUUCAGCGGGGAGGAAGGUGUUGAGGUUAAUAACCUCAGCAAUUGACGUUACCCGCAGAAGAAGCACCGGCUAACUCCGUGCCAGCAGCCGCGGUAAAAC
rnacentral:rRNA from 1 species